CGGAGCGGCGGUACCGGGCAGCGGGGGCGCGCAGAGCUCGGUGGGGCCGGGCGGAGCGGCGGUACCGGGCAGCGGGGGCGCGCAGAGCUCGGUGGGGCCGGGCGGAGCGGCGGCACCGGGCAGCGGGGGCGCGCAGAGCUCGGUGGGGCCGGGCGGAGCGGAGGCACCGGGCAGCGGGGGCGCGCAGCGCUCGGUGCGGCCGGGCGGAGCGGAGGCACCGGGCAGCGGGGGCGCGCAGAGCUCGGUGGGGCCGGGCGGAGCGGAGGCACCAGAGGUGCGCAGAGCUCGGUGGGGCCGGGCGGAGCGGAGGCACCGGGCAGCGGGGGCGCGCAGCGCUCGGUGCGGCCGGAACGCGGCGCGCCCGUGCCCCGGCCCUGCUCCGCAGAGACGCCGCCCGUGCCGCCCCUCCCGCUUCCCCAGCCGUGGCAGGGGAGCUUUCGCGGAAGCGGCCGCGUAAGAAAAUGUUACCUUGCGAAGCAAUCGUCUUCAUUAAACAGUCCUUAAUUUUCUUCUAGCAGCCGUGGUGCAAGCCGGCACUGAGCUGGUUUUAACAAGUCUUUGUUAUUUCAUCACAAUCCUCAUUUAAGGUUUGUGACAUCCAAGUGCUUUCAGAGGGAAGCAAAUACAGUUAUGAAAACUGUAAGUUUGUGUUACUUCCCAGGCACCGGCAGCUCAAGCCAGCUGUCCAUGCCCUGGUAUGGCUUGGCUGACACCUUUACCUGCCUUGCUGCUUCUUUAGCAAGACAUUCCACUCACAUUACUCAGAAACACCCUCAGCUGUACAACACCUUUCCCACAGCAUUAGCCUCUCCCUACUUCCACAUGGUGCAACUUAAUGCUGCAUGUUCUAGCUUACAUUCAAGGGAACUUCUGUCCUUUGUUCCAGAGGGUGGGGAAUUUUUUUUUUUUCCUUGUUUGGCUUUGGUUUGUUGGUUCAGGGCAGGUUUUUUCCUAAUAAAUGCUUUACAGACAUAAAACAGUAUUUUCCCUUCAUUUUACCUCUUCUGGUUUAUUUAGGUCAAUAGAUACAACAGUAAGGUAAGCCAUUAUUACAUUCACUAGCCCUUGAUUACAAUGACUAACAGAAGUUCUGAUCCAUCCUAUCGCAUUUUCAAGAUAGCUUAACUUCCUUAUUUCUAGGAUGGGUUUUGCAGCCAAUAAAUCUUAUGUAUAAGACAACUACUGCAUUUCAUUUCCCCCUUUAUUUUUGCUAUCAUCAGCUGCCUGUAAGUACUUAAUUUUAGGGCAGGAAACUAAUACAGCUCUUUACAAUAUCAUCACUAAUUUUUAGGGUUUUUUUAUAAAUUACUACUUAGCAUUUUAGAAGAGUCAUAAAACCAAUUCAGGGAAGGGGAGAGGGAAAAUAGGCAAAAUUAAUAAUCAAAAGUCACACUCUCAUCCCACCCCACUGGGAUUUUGUUUUCCCUGUUAGAUGAAUCAGAAAGAAGAACUCUCCACACUGUAGUCUUACAUGUGCCACUCUAAUUACACAGAACUUCCAUCACAAGUAAGGAUUUUGUGCUAUGUUCAGAACUGCACAGGCAGUAUCUGAAUCAACUCUCCAAAGCCCAGUUUCUGAGAUGGGGGCAGAGACACGAACUGCAUGGAAAGAGUUAUAACCUCAUGCAGAUUAAAGUGUAAGUUCAGUAGGAACUGCAUUUCAACACUGUGCUAGAUCCAUCACUUAACUGCACUUGCUCAUUUUAUGCCCUUCUGAGUAGAGUGUUCCCCAGCAGCUUCAGCAGAAGUCUCACCCCAGUGCUGAGUACAAACACAAAGUCGUUUGAAGGUCCUGCUUUAAUUUACAGUUGGUCCAUCAGUGCCAUGUCACUCCUUUCAGUUAACUGAAAACAAAGACAGAUCCAUAGUUCAA